rfam:Triticum aestivum genome assembly, contig: Triticum_aestivum_CS42_TGACv1_scaffold_557021_7AL
UGAGUACUCCCUCCGUCCAAAAAGGCUUGUCCCAAGCUUGUCCUUCACAUGGAUGUAUCUAGCCCUAUCUUGGUGCUAGAUACAUCCAUUUAAGGGACAAGCUUUUUCGGACGGAGGGAGUAGUAA